AACCACCUUGAUUAAAACAGCCUCUCCACUACAAAAUGACUAGUGAUUUUAAGUAGUGUAGUGGUCAAGUGGUUCAUUAGUGUUCUUUUUAUUUUUUAUUUCUUCAUAUUUGAUACUCCAUUUAUUUAUGUAUUAUCAACCAUUACAUUAACGUACAACUGUAACAGUAAACUUCGUGUGUUAUUUAACGGGUUGGGGGC
rnacentral:lncRNA from 1 species